rnacentral:precursor_RNA from 2 species
GUUCACAUGACUCAGUGAGGUUCUUGCACGUUGCACGUUUUCGUCGCUUUUCUUUUCACGUUCUACCUAGUUAAUCUGUUCAUUUUCAGAUUAUCUUCCUCACUGUGAUGACUUUUCUUUUUGUUCUUAUUUGGGAGAAGGUUUUAUAAAGAGCCUUGGGAUUCAGAAAGGAAAGACUUAGGGUUGCAAGCGGGUCAACCCGUGAACCCGCUUAUAGGCAAAAUUAGUAGGUAACCCGUAUAAAUGAGUUUAUGGAUCGACCCACUUGCAUCUCUAAGUGCGGCAAAUCGGACCACGACGUGAAAACACACGGGUUAUCACUUAUUUUACAUAUAAGUAGGUUUGCGAGUUGGCCCGCUUGCAUCCCUAGAUGCCGUCUUAGCUCUUAACAAGCAUGGGAUUGGGGUGCUGCACGCCGCGGCAUGCCAGGGCCAUCUGAAUGUUUGCAAGUUCUUGGUGGAGGAAUUGGGGGGUGACGUGAAUAUUGCUGGAAAAGAAGGUCAU